GCUUACGGCCAUACCAGCCUGGGUACGCCCGAUCUCGUCUGAUCUCGUAAGCUAAGCAGGGUCGGGCCUGGUUAGUACUUGGAUGGGAGACCGCCUGGGAGUACCAGGUGCUGUAAGCA
rnacentral:rRNA from 1 species